CAACAAAUAAUUAAUCUGAAAUAAUUAAGAAACAAAUAUCAAACGUUAAACGACCAAGUCGGUGUGAACGGUUCAGUCGUUUUUGAAAACACAAUAAGCAAAAGGGUUCAAAAUGGACUUUUUGCCUCUGAAUCCGGCUAUUGGGCUCAUCGUUCAAUUGAGGGAGCACCUUACAUCAUAUACAGGCCAUCAUAAUAUAUCCAAAUUAGGCUGACAUUUUACAGAAGGUUAUCCUUGCAUUAUCUGCAGACUACAAGCUAAUGAAAUGGAAAUUCCAACUUCAUAUCCCAAAAUCUUCGGAUCUAAAUCCUAUUGGAAAUCCUUGAAAUAUCGUAAAAACUCAAAUAAAAUGAUAACGUCCAUCCGACUCAGAA
rnacentral:sRNA from 1 species